rnacentral:rRNA from 1 species
GAUGAACGCUGGCGGCGUGCCUAAUACAUGCAAGUCGAGCGAACAGACGAGGAGCUUGCUCCUCUGACGAUAGCGGCGGACGGGUGAGUAACACGUGGAUAACCUACCUAUAAGACUGGGAUAACUUCGGGAAACCGGAGCUAAUACCGGAUAAUAUAUUGAACCGCAUGGUUCAAUAGUGAAAGACGGUUUUGCUGUCACUUAUAGAUGGAUCCGCGCCGCAUUAGCUAGUUGGUAAGGUAACGGCUUACCAAGGCGACGAUGCGUAGCCGACCUGAAAGCGUGAUCGGCCACACUGGAUCUGAGACACGGUCCAGACUCCUACGGGAGGCCGCAGUAGGGAAUCUUCCGCAAUGGGCGAAAGCCUGACGGAGCAACGCCGCGUGAGUGAUGAAGGUCUUCGGAUCGUAAAACUCUGUUAUUAGGGAAGAACAAAUGUGUAAGUAACUAUGCACGUCUUGACGGUACCUAAUCAGAAAGCCACGGCUAACUACGUG